rnacentral:rRNA from 1 species
CGUGCUUAACACAUGCAAGUCGAACGAUGAAGCCCAGCUUGCUGGGUGGAUUAGUGGCGAACGGGUGAGUAACACGUGAGUAACCUGCCCUUGACUCUGGGAUAAGCGCUGGAAACGGCGUCUAAUACCGGAUACGACCUGCCCCGGCAUCGGGUGCGGGUGGAAAGUUUUUCGGUCAAGGAUGGACUCGCGGCCUAUCAGCUAGUUGGUGAGGUAAUGGCUCACCAAGGCGACGACGGGUAGCCGGCCUGAGAGGGUGACCGGCCACACUGGGACUGAGACACGGCCCAGACUCCUACGGGAGGCAGCAGUGGGGAAUAUUGCACAAUGGGCGAAAGCCUGAUGCAGCAACGCCGCGUGGGGGAUGACGGCCUUCGGGUUGUAAACCUCUUUUAGUAGGGAAGAAGGGCUUCGGCUUGACGGUACCUGCAGAAAAAGCACCGGCUAACUACGUGCCAGCAGCCGCGGUAAUACGUAGGGUGCAAGCGUUGUCCGGAAUUAUUGGGCGUAAAGAGCUCGUAGGCGGUUUGUCGCGUCUGCUGUGAAAACCCGAGGCUCAACCUCGGGCCUGCAGUGGGUACGGGCAGACUAGAGUGCGGUAGGGGAGAAUGGAAUUCCUGGUGUAGCGGUGGAAUGCGCAGAUAUCAGGAGGAACACCGAUGGCGAAGGCAGUUCUCUGGGCCGUUACUGACGCUGAGGAGCGAAAGCGUGGGGAGCGAACAGGAUUAGAUACCCUGGUAGUCCACGCCGUAAACGUUGGGAACUAGAUGU